rnacentral:rRNA from 1 species
UGGGGAAUAUUGCACAAUGGGCGCAAGCCUGAUGCAGCCAUGCCGCGUGUAUGAAGAAGGCCUUCGGGUUGUAAAGUACUUUCAGCGGGGAGGAAGGGAGUAAAGUUAAUACCUUUGCUCAUUGACGUUACCCGCAGAAGAAGCACCGGCUAACUCCGUGCCAGCAGCCGCGGUAAUACGGAGGGUGCAAGCGUUAAUCGCAAUUACUGGGCGUAAAGCGCACGCAGGCGGUCUGUCAAGUCGGAUGUGAAAUCCCCGGGCUUAACCUGGGAACUGCAUUCGAAACUGGCAGGCUAGAGUCUUGUAGAGGGGGGUAGAAUUCCAGGUGUAGCGGUGAAAUGCGUAGAGAUCUGGAGGAAUACCGGUGGCGAAGGCGGCCCCCUGGACAAAGACUGACGCUCAGGUGCGAAAGCGUGGGGAGCAAACAGG